UACGAACUGUGCAAACGUUAUUCGGAAUCACUGGGCUUAAAGGGUGCGUAGGCGGCUGUCUAAGCAGGGUGUGAAAGCCCCCGGCUCAACCGGGGAAUUGCGUUCUGAACUGGACGGCUGGAGUGGGAUAGAGGUGUGUGGAACUUCCGGUGGAGCGGUGAAAUGUGUUGAUAUCUGGAGGAACACCGGUGGCGAAGGCGGCAUCCUGGACCAAUACUGACACUGAGGAGCGAAAGCCAGGGGAGCAAACGGG
rnacentral:rRNA from 1 species